rnacentral:lncRNA from 1 species
AUGUUACUCAAGAUCUGUCUUGAUCAUAUGAUAAAUAAAUAUUUUUCAGAACCGCUUGUCCCAUACAGGGUCGCGGGGAACCGGAGCCUACCCGGCAACACAGGGCAUAAGGCCGGAGGGGGAGGGGACACACCCAGGAUGGGACGCCAGUCCAUCACAAGGCACCCCAAGUGGGACUCAAACCCCAGACCCACCAGAAAGCAGGACUGUGGUCCAACCCACUGCGCCACCACCGGCAGGAAUUUUGCAUGUGGACUAUAUAAGAUGUCUUUCUGCCACAAGAAGAGACUUACUGAGAGAGGAGCUGAAGAACGCUGUGUCCGAUUUUCCUGGAUGAACUGUAGCACAGUCCAGAAGUCCAGAAAGGGGAGGGCCGACUCUCUCGGUCUGUUUCACUCGGCUCGCGGUGAACCGGAGCCUAACCUGGCAACACAGGGCGCAGGGCUGGAGGAGGAGAGGACACACCCAGGACGGGAUGCCAGGCCAUUGCAAGGCAUCCCAAGCAGGACUGAAACCUCAGCCAAACCCGCUGUGCUGCUGUGCCCCCCCGCCCAGUUUGAACACCGAAUUUGAAAUUUUUGAUUACUAUUAACGUCACACACAGAGUUGGUAUGGGAUUCUUAUAAACCUCUCUUUCUGACCUUAAUAAGAUGUCAGGAACAUUUGUUAAAUGUGGAACCACUAAAAGUUUUACUUAUACAGUGUAACUGACAGAUGGAGUAUUAAAUAUAAUGAAAAUAGAUAUUUCAAAACUGUUUAUGAACUCUGCUAUCAAAGUGUUAGUAGCUCCUUAAGUCUCCCUUCCUCGUUCCCGCUUGCCUGUCUCCUUGUUCCUGUAUCCUGUCUCCCAUGGUCCUGACCAUCGCAUGUCCCUUCGAUCGUGUCUCUGAAUCACCCUUGGUACUCUUGCCUGCCCCAACCACAAGAUUUGCCUUGCCCUUUCAACAACUGUAUGAACGAUCCCACACCUGUGUCCACUCUCCAGUUCUCCAAUGCGCCAGCAUCACAUACAUACUUUUGUGUAUGUGUGUCCCCCAGUAUUUAAUAGUUAGACAAGCUUUAUGAACUGUUUAUCACCAAUAACAAAGCAGCUCUGUUUGAUCUGGAGAAACAGCAGUCAGAAAAGUUUGUGAACCCCUUGAAAUUAUCUGCAUUUCUAUAUAAAAAGCUCAGAAACUGUGGUCUGAUCUUCAUCUAAGUCAUAAUAAACAGUCUUAUUUAACAAACA